rnacentral:tRNA from 1 species
GCGGUCGUGGCGGAACUGGCAGACGCGCACGUUUGAGGGGCGUGUGAGGGGCCUCGUAUGGGUUCAAGUCCCAUCGACCGCACCA